UGACUCUGGGUCUUGGUAUUAUAGCCCAAUGUAGUAGGUGUCCUAUAGCAUCCAGUGGCACAGCCUCCCCUAUGACCCAAGGUGGGUACUCGAGGUGCUCCCGUCAUGUGGGCUGAGUACACCCUCUUUUUGUAGAUGAGUCUUGAUUGAUGUUGGCAGAUCAAUGGGUGGCAUUUACCUAGGCCAGCCAGCUGCAAGGAUUGGCUGUGACCACUGACAACCAACCUGUGCCCUCUGUGGGGGAUCAGCUGGUCAGAGGCAGAGUGAUGGUGCUUUGAUGUGGUCUGUAGCUGUCCACUGGGUGCACUGGCCCUGGGGUUUCCUGGGCAGUGCAGGCCAAGGUCAGCCC